rnacentral:rRNA from 1 species
UGUGCCGCCCUGAAGGGCGUAUGGUGGAUGCCUUGGCAGACAGUACCGAUGAAGGACGUUUGAGGAUGCGAUAAGCCUCGGGGAGCCUCCAACAUGGCUUCGAUCCGAGGAUUUCCGAAUGGGGCAACCCGCCGGCCGUCAUGGGCCGGCACGGAACCUUGUUGUUCCGGGGGUACGCAGGGAAGUGAAACAUCUCAGUACCUGCAGGAAGGGAUACUCCGUGAGUAGUGGCGAGCGAAAGCGGAUCAGACCAAACCAUGGGCGCGUGAUACCCGUCGGGGUUGCGUCCGUGGUGUUGCGGGAGCGUGUGUCCCGGUUCCGACGGACCGGGCGGGAGUCAUAAAACGGCUUGCCAGGGGAACAGGCUUGAAGGCCUGGCCGCAGAGGGUGCCAGCCCCGUACCUUGAAGCUUGCCGUCUUCCGAUCAUGUGUCCCAAGUAGCGCGGGCCUCGUGGAAGUCCCGUGUGAAUCGGCCCCGACCGUGGGGUAAGUCUAAGCAUACCUGUCUGACCGAUAGCGUACCAGUACCGUGAGGGAAAGGUGAAAAGCACCCCGGGAGGGGAGUGAAAGAGUUCCUGAAACCGUGCGCCUACAAUCCGUCGGAGCCUCCUUGUGGGGUGACGGCGUGCCUAUCGAAAAAUGAGUCUGCGAGUCAGUGGUGCGUGGCGAGGCUAACCCGUGGUGGGGAGCCGUAGCGAAGGCGAGUCUCAAAAGUCGUUUUGAGUCGCGACGCCCUGGACCCGAAGGCGGGAUGAUCUAGCCCUGGGCCAGGUUGAAGCGCGGGUAAGACCGCGUGGAGGACCGAACCCACCUGGGUUGAAAACCGGGGGGAUGACCUGGGGCUAGGGGUGAAAGGCCAAUCAAAUUCCGUGAUAGCUGGUUCUCUCCGAAAUGCAUUUAGGUGCAGCGUCGGUUGAUUGCAUCGCGGGGGUAGAGCUACUGGAUGCUUGCGGGCCCGUGUCGGGUACCAAUAGCAGCCAAACUCCGAAUACCGUGGAUUUGUAUUCCUGCAGUGAGUCGGCGGGGGAUAAGCUCCGUCGUCGAGAGGGAGACAGCCCAGAUCGUCGUCUAAGGUCCCGAAGCGUGUGCUAAGUGGGAAAGGAUGUGGAGUCCGCAUAGACAGCCAGGAGGUUGGCUCAGAAGCAGCCAUCCUUGAAAGAGUGCGUAACAGCUCACUGGUCUAGUGGUUUCCGCGCCGACAAUGUAGCGGGGCUCAAGCACACCACCGAAGGACGCCGGCAGCGGCCUUUGCGGCCGUUGGUAGGAGAGCGUCCCGCGUCGGGGCGAAGCGGCCGGGGAACCGUGCCGUGGACCGCGCGGGAGUGAGAAUGCAGACAUGAGUAGCGAGAGACGGGUGAGGAUCCCGUCCGCUUGGAUGACCAAGGGUUCCGGGGCCACGUUCGUCGUCCCCGGGUGAGUCGGGUCCUAAGGCGAGGCCGACAGGCGUAGUCGAAUGGAUGAACGGGUGGAUAUUCCCGUACCGGCGGCGUACCGUAAGAGCCGAACGGAUGAGUACUAACCUCCGGUCGCGUGGCGUCGUUCCCUUCGGGGUUCGGGGUCCGCGGUCGUUGGGAGCGUAGUCCCGGUAGGCUAGCGCACAGGGGUGACACGGAAUGGGAGCCGGCCGCGGAGGUGGUUUUCCGUGGUCAAGCACGCAGCCCGUCCCAUAGGCAAAUCCGUGGGACGCAUAGGGUGAGGUGUGAUGAUGGGCGUCCUUUGGACGCGAUAUCCGGUGGUCCAGGCCGUCGAGAAAAGCCUCGGCGCGAGGGGCGUCGCCGCCCGUACCCCAAACCGACACUGGUGGUCAGGUAGAGAAUACCAAGGCGAUCGAGCGAAUCCUGGUCAAGGAACUCGGCAAAUCACUCCCGUGCCUUCGGUAUAAGGGAGACCCCCGGGCGUGAAGAGGCUUGCCCUCGGAGCGUUGGGGGGUGGCACAGACCAGGGGGUAGCGACUGUUUACCAAAAACACAGGUGCAUGCGAAGGCGCAAGCCGCUGUAUAUGCACUGACGCCUGCCCGGUGCCGGAAGGUUAAGAGGAUCCGUCAGCCCCUUUUGGGGUGAAGCGGUGAAUUCAAGCCCCGGUAAACGGCGGUGGUAACUAUAACCAUCCUAAGGUAGCGAAAUUCCUUGUCGGGUAAGUUCCGACCUGCACGAAUGGCGUAACGACUUCCCCACUGUCUCGACCAGGAGCUCGGCGAAAUUGCAGUACGAGUAAAGAUGCUCGUUAAGCGCAGAAGGACGAAAAGACCCCGGGACCUUUACUAUACCUUGGUAUUGGCGUUAGGCGCGGAUUGUGUAGCAUAGGCGGGAGGCUUCGAAGCAUGGGCGCCAGCCCGUGUGGAGCCGCAAGGUGAAAUACCGCUCUGUUCUCGUUUGACGUCUCACCUCGAACAGUCAUCCUGUUCAGGGACAGUGCCUGGCGGGUAGUUUAACUGGGGCGGUUGCCUCCCAAAGAGUAACGGAGGCGCUCAAAGGUCCGCUCAGCCCGGUUGGCAAUCGGGUUUCGAGUGUAAUCGCACAAGCGGGCUUGACUGCGAGAACGACGGUUCGGGCAGGGACGAAAGUCGGAGAUAGUGAUCCGGUGCCGGCGCACGGGCGCGGCAUCGCUCAACGGAUAAAAGGUACCCCGGGGAUAACAGGCUGAUCAUUCCCAAGAGUCCAUAUCGACGGGAUGGUUUGGCACCUCGAUGUCGGCUCGUCGCAUCCUGGGGCUGGAGCAGGUCCCAAGGGUUCGGCUGUUCGCCGAUUAAAGCGGCACGCGAGCUGGGUUCAGAACGUCGUGAGACAGUUUGGUCUCUAUCCUCUGCGCUCGUUGGAAUCCUGAGGAGGCCUGCCCAUAGUACGAGAGGACCUGGGUGGACGGACCUCUGGUAUGCCGGUUGUCGCGCCAGCGGCAUGGCCGGUUGGCUACGUUCGGGAGGGAUAACCGCUGAAAGCAUCUAAGCGGGAAGCCUGCUCCAAGAUUAGGAUUCCUUGACGCUCCCCGGAGCGUCCGAAGCCCGCAUGUUGAACACGUGUUCGAUAGGCCGGAGGUGGAAGCCCCGCGAGGGGUGGAGCCGACCGGUACUAACGGGCGAACGCGGCACACU